CCAUAAGCGCCUUUUCAUCGUCGUUUCCUCCAGAGGCUACCACUGACAUCAUAUGAAUGCAAUAGGAAAAAAAUAUAGAUUUAAUUUAUAAUUUCAUUAACAAUGCACAAGCAGAAGCAAACAAUCAAACGAUAAAUCCAAAAGAGAAGUCAUUUCAGCACCUCUAACCCCCAAAAAUGAAAAAAUUCAUAUUCAUGGAUUAUUCGUCAAUAUAUUGAUAUACAAAUAAUUCAACUACUCAAUCCACAGCAUCAGGAGGCACCUAUGCUACACAGAUCCAGGAAUAAGUGGCAGGUGCAGGCAUGUGCCCAAGUGUUGGAUUGGUUGAAACACCCAAUCUUUGGAUAAAAGGAUAUGGAAAAGUUGUUAACGUGGCCAAAAACUAGAUAAAGAUAUUUCCAUUGAAAAAUAUUCUAAAUAAAGGAUUGAUUUGCAAUAAAACAAUUAAUUACUUUAUCUAAAAUAUAGAAGCUAAAGGACCUAUUUCCAAAAUCCCUUGUUAUAAGAUAACAUUUUAAAGGAAACUCCUUCAGCGUAUGUGAAAAAACAAGAUUCAACGGCUAUGACCUCCCGGCAUUCCUUCAAGGAUUUGUUCCACUUCCAAGCAGCCCUGUGAAACCUUCCUGCUGAGUUAAAAAUUUUGCAAAGAUAUGCAUUUGUUUUUUAUCCACUCUUCUUUCCCUUUUUGUUAUAUUUUUCCUCUAUUUAUCUUCUUCUCAAUCUCCCUCCAUAGAGUUCACCAUCAUAGAACUCAAAAGUUACUGAAUUACACUUACUUGUUGGACACUAUACUUCAACUCCACCCUUCCAAAAAGGAACACUUUCUCCAACCAACUAUUCUGUAUAGCCAAGUCCAUAGCUAUAUCUCCACGUGUACUCAUGUCAUGUUCAACUAGGUACUAACAGGUGAAGUGCCAAAUCCAAGUAUCCAAUGAUGGUUUAAUCCAUGAUCUCAACCAGGGUGUUAAAGAAAAUGGGAACCAAUGCCAAAAUUAAUGGUAAAGAAAAAGGUUUUAUGAUUUCAUAAAACGUGUCAAUCUCAAAUCUUCAACAUCAUUUCCGAUAUGAUGAUUGUCAUUUACUGCAAUACCAGAUUGAGCAAAAUGUGCAAUUUGAUUUCCAAUAGAACAUCCAAAACAUGCUGAGUAAGCAGACUAAUCAAUUUAAUUGGACAAUAUGAAUGAAAAGAAAGCCAACUCCCACUUGAAUUACCCAAUCAACUGGCCAUGAGAAUUGUAUUCACGUUUUUUGACACGAGAAGUGACACAGAAAAUGGCGCUAUCUACACAUGCAUUCACACCCCCACAAGUAAGGAACUUAGCAGAUCACUUUUCUUGAAUGGUUUUGGAGGAACUGAUAAAGUAAAAGACUAAACUAAACACCAAAUCCCAGCUCCUGGCACUGAGGUAGAAAGAAAAUAUCAAGUUAUUGCAUACCAUAAGUUUAUAAGUAAUUUUUAAUUGGAACUCCAUAUAUCUCUCUGAACAAUACAUGAAACUCCUUAAUUUUCCAAAAUAUUUCAUGACAUGCCAUUGUGUUUAGCAGAACAGUAAUUUGGAGAAGCAGUUUAGAAAACUUAUCACACUCCUAAUUUAGUAAUCCAACGAUAUUCAAUAGUAAUUUACAUUAAUUAGUAAAUUCCCAUAAUAGCCAUCAACACAAUUCAAAUUCUCUUGCGCGCGAAAACAUCUCAGGACAUGCAUCUAUAAAUUCUCAUGAGCGCGAAAAUAUCUAUAGUAGAAUGCUCUGCAAACAGAAAUAGUUCAUAUCCACUCAUUAAUCUUCACCAAAAUACCAGGGCAUCACUUCCCACAAAGUAGCAAGGCAUUCUUGCCAAAUCAAUCCAAAGAAAAUUUGCCAUUGCAUCCCAAAUAAACUAUCUUCAGCAAAACAUCAAAAGUUUUAUCAAAAGUGACACCAUAGAUAAAAAAUAAAUGAAAAGCAUGAAGCAGAUGCAGAUUUAUUUUCAAUAAAUCUAAAGAAAAUAACAUAAUUCUUAAAAAUUAACUUAAUACUCGGUUUCCGAGAAAACGAAGGAAAAUAAACUAAAAACUUGAAGUCUUCUACAAGAUGGUAAAAUCCCAUGCUUUCUUCGCUUCCUCUCCUAAUUUCCAGAGCUAUACACUAAAAUCCAACAACCAAAAUAAAAUCGCGGCGUACACUAGCCAACACAAUCUCAUACUCCAAAACCAUACCAGAAAGCAGCCUGAUCUGAAGCCUCAAUGGAAAUUAAACAUUAAAUGCAAGAAACAAACAUCCACAGAUGCUCAAAAAACCCCAGAAUUCAAACCGAAAACAACAAUUCUAAUACAUAACAAUCAAAUCCAUCGAAACACCAAAUCGCACCAAAACAACCAGAGUUGCACAAGACUCUGAAGUUACCUGUAGCGGUCCAAAACUGAUCGGAGGGCUUGGUAGAGAUGAGAUCGUCGGGCAGAUCGAGCUUGCUUUCGGCCAUCGGGAGUGGCGAAGCAGCGAGAGAAGAUCGAAAGAGAGAGGGAAGGAGCGAAGAAGAGUAGUGGUUGGAGGG
rnacentral:lncRNA from 1 species